ensembl:lncRNA
GCAAAGACAGCCUGUGGCCAGGAGGAGCGGGGCGAGGGUCUCCAAGGAGUGCACAGGCCAGGAGAGCGCGCGGGGCUGCGGCACGUGCUUUCCCCAGUUUCCAGAUCUACCUCAAAUUGUUGAAAUUCCCAGUUGCCCUCCAAGCUUUAUCGCCUCUGGCAGAGGGAGGCCUGUUCUCCCCAGUGGCCUCAGCCGCACAGCCACCUGCGAACGUCACCUCUCGCGUCAUACUGGAAUUCGCACCAUUGACUUAAAAGCUGACCUUUGCUGGUGACCAUCCACAGCAAGGGAAGCAGUGGACCAGGAAGUGAAGGAGACCGAGGAGCCAUGUGGCUUUGGAGGC